rnacentral:tRNA from 3 species
GCCCAGAUGGCUCAGGGGUAGAGCACGUCCUUGGUAAGGACGAGGUCGUGGGUUCGAUUCCCAUUCUGGGCUCCA